rnacentral:misc_RNA from 1 species
GAUGAAGAACGUAGCGAAAUGCGAUAAGUAGUGUGAAUUGCAGAAUUCAGUGAAUCAUCGAAUCUUUGAACGCACAUUGCGCCCCUUGGUAUCCCGAGGGGCAUGCCUGUUCGAGCGUCAUUUCACCACUCAAGCCUGGCUUGGUGUUGGGCGACGUCCCCUUUGGGGACGCGCCUCGAAACGCUCGGCGGCGUGGCACCGGCUUUAAGCGUAGCAGAAUCUUUCGCUUUGGAAGUCGGGGCCCCGUCUGCCGGAAGACCUACUCGCAAGGUUGACCUCGGAUCAGGUAGGGAUACCCGCUGAACUUAAGCAUAUCAAUAAGCGAGGA